GGGGGAUUAGCUCAGCUGGUAGAGCGCUUGCAUGGCAUGCAAGAGGCCAUCGGUUCGAAUCCGUUAUCCUCCACAA
rnacentral:tRNA from 1 species